rnacentral:rRNA from 1 species
AAGACGGGAGGCAGAAGGGAGGAAGAGGGGGGAAGGGAAGGAAGUCUGAACCAGCCACGCCGCGUGCAGGAAGACGGCUCUAUGAGUUGUAAACUGCUUUUGUACAAGGGUAAACCUGAAUACGUGUAUUCAGCUGAAAGUACUGUACGAAUAAGGAUCGGCUAACUCCGUGCCAGCAGCCGCGGUAAUACGGAGGAUCCAAGCGUUAUCCGGAUUUAUUGGGUUUAAAGGGUGCGUAGGCGGAUUGAUAAGUUAGAGGUGAAAUGUCCGAGCUUAACUCGGGAACUGCCUCUAAUACUGUUGAUCUAGAGAGUAGAUGCGGUAGGCGGAAUGUAUGGUGUAGCGGUGAAAUGCUUAGAGAUCAUACAGAACACCGAUUGCGAAGGCAGCUUACCAAUCUAUAUCUGACGUUGAGGCACGAAAGCGUGGGGAGCAAACAGGAUUAGAUACCCGAGUAGUC